GACGGGCGAGUGCAGAUACCCCACUGUUCCGCGGAGCUGCGGGGGCCCACACACCGUCACGCCCCCGCGCUUCCAGCCCCAACCGCCCAGCACCCCACGGCCGUCCCCAUCCAGCGCCCGCCGCCCCAACAAGGUAGGGAUGACAGAGGUGGGGAGGGGGAUGCUGAGCCUGCGGGGGGAUCUGUGCCUCAGUUUCCCCAGGGAGAGCUGGCUGGGGGAGGGUUGCUGGGGGAUGCGGAACGGGGCCCCGUGUUUGGGUCACACGCUCUCCCCUUCCCAGAAGGACGCGAUGCAGCUGUCGGGCCAGGACGGCACUGAUGGGAAGCGGCAGGACGAGCAGCUCUCCAUGAUGGGGGGCUCUCAGCUGCCCACAACACCAACGGCCACCCCAGAGACCUCGACCUCGAGGAGCCAGAAAAGCACCGCCUCCCCGCUGCUGUUAGCCGUGCUGAAGCGCCGACCAGCCUCAUCUCCCGGACGCCUCACCCAGGCACCGAAGCUGCUGCCGCCCAUCCAGCCCCCCCGCAGCGAAACAACCCCCUGACAGCCGGGCAGGACGGGGGUCCCGGCCCCGGUCCCACCGCCCCGGGCGCUGAGCAGGCAGCGGCUGCAAUAAAUGGCGAUGGGCAACCAA